rnacentral:pre_miRNA from 1 species
CGGGUGAGCGCAGGAUACUGAAAUGUGUCCCCCGGCGCCCUGGGAUCCGGGGCCUGUGCUGUUGGAAUCGUGCUCCCAGGCUGCAGCUCCCG